rnacentral:rRNA from 1 species
AGCGAACGCUGGCGGCAGGCUUAACACAUGCAAGUCGAGCGGGCACUUUCGGGUGUCCGCGGCGGACGGGUGAGUAACGCGUGGGAACGUGCCCUCUGGUUCGGAAUAACUCAGGGAAACUUGAGCUAAUACCGGAUACGCCCUUUUGGGGAAAGGCUUGCUGCCGGAGGAUCGGCCCGCGUCUGAUUAGCUAGUUGGUGAGGUAACGGCUCACCAAGGCGACGAUCAGUAGCUGGUCUGAGAGGAUGAUCAGCCACACUGGGACUGAGACACGGCACAGACUCCUACGGGAGGCAGCAGUGGGGAAUAUUGGACAAUGGGCGCAAGCCUGAUCCAGCCAUGCCGCGUGAGUGAUGAAGGCCUUAGGGUUGUAAAGCUCUUUUAUCCGGGACGAUAAUGACGGUACCGGAGGAAUAAGCCCCGGCUAACUUCGUG